rnacentral:rRNA from 1 species
UUGAUCAUCUAGAAGAUUGUCAAGAUGGCUCACAAACUUCAAUUUUGUGACCAUGCGAAAAUCCACCAUGUUUUUCAUGUGAGUCAACUAAAGAAGCACAUUGGCAGCAAAUCCAUACCUAGCCCAAAUUUACCCAUGGUCACUUCUGAUCGAACUAUCAAAACAGGUCCUGCUUCAGUCUUACAAGUGAGGCAAGUUCCUAGAAAUAACUUGCAUGUGUGUAGCGGUACAUCUAGUUGGAGGAUUUGUCACCUAGAGAGGCAACAUGGGAAGACGCAAAAUUUAUCAAGUACAUAUUUCCAAAGUUCUUCAAGACAACAACUCAAAUCUGGCGUGCAAAUCAACAAGCGCCAUGAGGACACGUCGUUUCUCAAGGGAGGGGCAAUGUCAGGCUUAGACUGUCGCACGUUCAGUCAACACCAUUGUUCAUUCAAAGAAGGGGUGUAG